AAGCCAUGUACACUAGAAUUCCAGCAGAUAUGGAGUUAAGGAUCCCUUCCACAACCAAAGCUCUUGGGCUAUGUGGAUCGUAAGAUGAAGCAGCUCCGAUCCCUAUAGCAAUUCCCAACGGGGUUGUUAUGGCAAAAAACGUUGCCAUUACAGUGGAACGCAGGGAACUGAACUGUGCCUGUGAGAUGCAACCUCCUAAUGCAAAGCCUUCAAAGAACUGGUGGAAUGACAACGCUACGAGCAAGGGUCUUAUUGUACAUGGACUUUCUGAGACACCCAAUGAUACACCAAUUAUGAUAGAAUGUGAUACUAUCCCAAGCUCCAAGACCUGAGAAACAACAACAUGCCUCACUCCACCUUCCUCAUCCCCACCACCGAAGCUAUGGGAGUGGGAAUGACCAUGGGAAUGCUCCCUCACGUCCCCAUGUUCAUGUGAAUGGCUAUGUCUGUGAUGAGCAGCAUGCGCAUGCAUCCCCACAAUGUGUAUUGCACCACCUUCUUCUUCACCAAACAAUUUCUCAUUCCUUGGCUUUGGCUCAACUGGUACAAUAGCUGAUUCCGACACCAAGUCGGCUGAAUCAGUCUGAUCUUUUUGGUUUUG
rnacentral:misc_RNA from 1 species